UGGGUAAUAUUGGGCAAUGGGCGAAAGCCUGACCCAGCAACGCCGCGUGAAGUAUGAAGGCCUUCGGGUUGUAAACUUCUUUGAUCAGGGAAGAAACAAAUGACGGUACCUGAAAAACAAGCCACGGCUAACUACGUGCCAGCAGCCGCGGUAAUACGUAGGUGGCGAGCGUUAUCCGGAUUUACUGGGUGUAAAGGGCGUGCAGGCGGGCUGAUAAGUCAGAUGUGAAAUCCCCGAGCUUAACUCGGGAACUGCAUCUGAUACUGUUGGUCUUGAGUGCUGGAGAGGAUAGUGGAAUUCCUAGUGUAGCGGUAAAAUGCGCAGAUAUUAGGAGGAACACCAGUGGCGAAGGCGGCUAUCUGGACAGUAACUGACGCUGAGGCGCGAAAGCGUGGGUAGCAAACAGG
rnacentral:rRNA from 1 species